rnacentral:lncRNA from 1 species
GCACCGCACCGCAACCUAAGCGUGGGUUAUCUCCCCUGUCCCUUGCCCCUCCCCCUCCACCGCCCCUCCCCCAACCAAUCUUGCCCGGAACAAACGACAUGAGCUCCCUCCCUCCAUCGCGUAGCUUCCUCUCCCUCCCCAUCCUCCUCCUCUCCACGCGCCCGAACUAACCAACUAGACGAGCUCCCCUCCCCUUUCCGCCGCUGGCGACCGGAGGCUCCCCCGCGCCCGCCCGCCCCGUCGUCGCCUCCCCGUCCCGCGGCUCCAUCCCGUGGCCCGUCGCUGGCGAGCCGCCGGCUGCGAGGAAGAAGGCAGGCGCGGCGCUCGGCACACCACUGGUUCGGGGCUCCUGAUCUGCUUUCUGUUUUAAUUUUUCUCCCCUGUGAUGGGUUCAAGAUUUUUACGGUUACAGUUGGAGGCGGGUUCAUAGGAUUUGGAUCUGCGCGGACGGGAGUUUUAGGGAGGGAGGGAGCAGAUUCAGGAAUCCGCAUGAUUGAUUAGCUGAUGGUCAGGGUAGGAGAAGUAGGACGAUUAGCGGAAUGGUAUUGAGGCCGCCCCUGUAGCUAGAUCCCGUCGCCUGGGGAGAGGAGGCACGGUCGGAUCACUCUGCUGCCUUGGCCCUGGAGAACUGCCUUCGCUUGAGGGUGCGAGAUGAAGGCAGCUGGGCUGCUUGAUUCAAGUCAAAUUAGCACGGGGCUGAUUCUGACUUCCUAAUAGCUACAGUACUGCAGACAGACAUAUAUUCAGGCUAUGGUUCAGAGUCUGCAUUGCAUGAAGAGAACUGAAUGAUGGUAGUUCAGUACAAACCCAUACAUAGUAAGGAGGUUCCUUCAACUGCCCAACAAUGUUGUAUUUAUGAAAUCAUAUCCGGACUGCUGUUUCCUAAGUUUAUUACUCAACUUAUAUUAAACUGUACUUUGCUUCGAAAACUUUUUGGCUGCUAUCAGAAUCAAGUUGGCACUUUUCAAAACCAAAAGUCACAGCGAUUUUGUUAUGCAAGUAACUUGAUAUAGCAUCUGCUGCAUCUAGGUGGAGUUGUGGUUGUUAACAAACACGCUAUGUGAUCCACAGUAAACAGUAACUCAUGUAUUUUUCACUCUUAGAACAGCAUGUUUUUCAUUUGAUAUACAAAAAUUAACUUACAUCCCUCUCUUCAUCUGUUUCCUCGAAGUCCUUAGACGUCUUUCUCAAGUGCCCUCUUCCUGCAACCAAGCAGGCUAUUAAUCCCAACAACAGAAUUUACAACAAGAAGCUUGAGUGAUGUAUUUCCUGAAUGCCUUGGUAUUUUUUAGUUAGUUCUAGAGGGAUCAGUUGCUAGUUUGUAGCAUUAGAGAAUUGUGAAGUGAAGGACGGAAAUCAUGGAUUAAGAAUAGAAGAUGGUAUUGAGUAUUGACACAAUUAAUAUAACCGUGGUAUAUAAUCAUGUCACAUCCCUAGUUCUGGUAAUGCUUAGUGCUAGCAUCUUGUGUUGCAUCAUGUUUAAGUUUCAAUUAAAGUUGAAAUGGGGAUGGCAGAAACCCCAGCACCACUUAAUCCAACUAGGGUUAUUAAAAUACUUUUUCAAUGAACCUGAAAUGCCCUUCAAAAAUGUUCAUCGUCAUUGCCUUGGUCUAGAACCUCUGAAAAAAAUGGUUCACAUUUUUCUAGGACAGCAUUGGGUCACUGAAUUAAAUCAGCUAUUUGCAUUUGGUCAUUUAAAUGCUAUAUAAUAUUUUAAAUGUCCAAAUAUUCAUGAACUAAAAUGUAUACUGCUGGAAUUAUUCCAAACAGUAGCCUUGAGCAGUUUCAUGAAUUUUGAGAUUGUUUUGGUAUUUUUAAUAAAGCCCUAAAGUUACAGAAUAAUAGAAAACAGAAACAAAUAAAAGAAGAGAGAGAGAGAGACCCACCUGACUUACCUGGCCCAAACCUACCUGGCGGUCCAGUUGAUUGGCCCAGCCCACCACCGCAACACCCAUGGCGUCUUCCUCCCUGGACAGAAGGACGAGCGUGUGCUCGCUGCGCGCUGGCCAUGCACCCGAGCCACCUGCUCCUUCCGCCGACGCUGGAGGCUGGCUGGAGCCGCCACGCACCCCCGGGCCCUCUCACUCCUCCCCUGUGCUCAUCCCCUCCCCUGUCCCUCUCGCGUGCACCCACCCGAGCGCAGACGCAGCCGCCGCUCGCCGUCCACGCGCUCACCGCCGUUGUCGUGCCCCAACGACCCGUCCCCGAGGUCCGCGUCGACGUCUUCUUCCUCUCCAUCGAGCUGCAUGAGCCCGGACGCCCUGUGGAGCCGUCUUCGCCCUCCUCUUCCUCGGGCACCUGAGAUUGCCGUCAUGGUUUCGUCGCCUCCGAGCCAUCCCCAAGCACGCUAAGCUACUCAACGACCUCCCAGUGAGCUUCGCCGCAUUUCCCCUCUCUUUCCCGCAUCUUUCAUGUCCUCUAGCCGUUGCGUUCAUCGAGACCGAGAACCACCGCCGCCUGAGCUUGUCGCCGGCGUAGCUCCGGCGACCAUUUGGUCACGGUAGUGCGUCCAAACGCUUCAGAAGUGCCAGGCAAGCAAAACCCCCUUUCAUUUUGAUACAAUCCCACUCUCUCGCCUCUGCUCUCUUUACUGCAUUAGGACAACAACGAUUCGAUUGUUACAUGCUGCGGUAGUUGAACCCCUUAUCCUAUGCAUGACCUGUCAUUGCCACAGUAAAUAGAUGAAACCCACUAGCAUGAGUAGGAGUUGUUUGAGCGCUGAUGUGCCUACUCAUUCAUGUUUGUUUGUCAUGCCUGCUAUGCUUAGAGUUGAGUCAGGUCUGAUUCAUCGGGGAUGAAUUGGAAAGUGGUGAACAUGUCCUACGGUGUAUGAGCUAAGUGUGUGAACACGAUUUGGUAAAGGUAGCGGUGAGAGGCCAUGUAGGAGUACAUGGUGGGUUGUCUUACUGAAACCGUCCUCAGGAACUGAGUUCUGUGUUUGUGAUCCAUGAACAGCUAUUACCACACGUUGGGCCCUGAAAUAUCACCCCGCUCGACUUAUUAACCGCCCUUGUCCUCUGUCCAGGAGUUGCAAGUAGUUUCUGGUGUUUGUAGGAUAUGUGUUGGAGGCCGUGCGUAGUGCUGACCCUAGGGGUGGGCUAUGAUGCGGUAGAUACACCAUGGCCCGGUGUACCAAGUCGCCCGUUUGGUGUCUCGGGAACCCUGCACACAUCGUUUGGGGCUGUGAGCGAAACCCCGACCGGAUCUCCUCGCGGAUGGAACCCGAAUAGGCGAUAAACCUAGAGUAGAGACUUGUGUGGUUAGUCAGGUCGUGGUCUACACCCACGUCGGCUUUCGCUUGAAGUCUGCCGAGCACAUGUCGUGUGCAGACGCUAAGUGGUGGAAACAUGUGUGAAGAAGUACACCCUUGCAGGGUUAUAAAUGAUCUAUUCGAAUAGCCGCGUCCGCAGUAAAGGACUUCUGGGUUGCCUAUAACAGUUCAUAGACAAGUAAAAGUGGAUACUCUAAAAUGCGCAAGAUAAGCGUGAGUGCUAUGGAUGGCGUCCUCGUAGGGAGACGAGAGCGGAUCUAUAGUGGUGUAUUGAUAUGGUGAAUAUGUGGACUCGUGUGCGCCACCUCAAAAGAGUUACUUGCAGUCGUAGUAUAGGUUAGCCAUUGAGUCAAAGCUGGCUUGCUGCAGUUAAACUCCACCACCUCUUUGUUGAUACUAAUGCAUAUGUAGAUAGUUAUGAUGUAAGUCUUGCUGGUACAUUUGUACUCACGUUUGCUUAAUUUAUGUUUUUGCAGAGAGACUUCAGUCUCGCUAGUAGUUCCGCGUGGACUUUGACGUUUAGCUUGUUACCUCAGCUACGAUCUUGUGCCCUCGGCAGGGUCUUGUAGAUAGUCAGGCUUCUCACCCUUUUCAUUUGUAGUUGUCUGUACUCAGACAAGUUAAGCUUCCUCAUGUGCUAUUGCUUGUAUGAUUUGAAUGCUGGGUCAUGAGACCCAUGUUUGUAAUAUCUUGCUCUUCGGAGUCUUAUGAAUAAAUAUUUUCAGUCGUAGAUUUUGUUGUGAUGCCAUGUUAUAUUUACACUAGCGAGCAUAUUGUGUGUAUGAUUGGAAUGCUUGGUAUGUGUGGGAU